rnacentral:lncRNA from 1 species
GGGCAUGCUUAACACCUCUAGGUCCACAAGAACAAAGACCAAACGCAAUAAAUCCACUCAGGUCCAACAUACCUGGAGUUCUGUUCCCUGCAUCCAUCCUCCAUGCACUAUAUCACCACAGCAAUCAUGUUUGGCCAAGAAUGCCAUGUAACUAUCAUACCCUCUUUGUCCACAGAGGAAUCAAAAACACAGGACAAAAUGAAUAUUUGCUAUUGUGAGUUCUUCCAUUACAGGAGAACUCCUAUGUUCAAGCUUUCCCAUGACAUAAAACACCAGCAGCUGGCUGAAAAACUCAGAAAGAGUCUGAAACCUUUCCACAUUCAGAGUAUUACUUAAUCAUAACUGUGGAGGAAGAGCAUGCAAGGCACAUACCUUCCUCUGUUAGAAAGGGUGAGAGAUUUCUCUACUUCAUAUCAUGAUGUAGCUCACAUACAAGCUGAAGAUGCCACAGGCUGUUGUGGAGAUGAUAUCAACCAAUGCCAUGAAUAGGCCUGGUUCCAGCAUUUUACCAUGACCAAAUAUUACUUGAGGCAAUUCUAUGAGGUUUAGCAUUCUCCCUAGGAAAGCAAGUUUCCUCUUGUCAAGGGACAAAUUCCCCUAUAGUCAAAGUUCAACUACCUCUUGGAUGGGCACUGUUUAGACUUCUAUCCCUCUGCUAUUCAUCCCAUCAGCACAGAAUGCCAUCUUGGGAUUUGGGACCCUUUUAGAGGACUAUUAUCUUACACAAGACAUAGG